rnacentral:rRNA from 1 species
AUCGAACGCUGGCGGCAGGCCUAACACAUGCAAGUCGAACGGUAGCACAGAGAGCUUGCUCUCGGGUGACGAGUGGCGGACGGGUGAGUAAUGCCUGGGAAACUGCCCGAUGGAGGGGGAUAACUACUGGAAACGGUAGCUAAUACCGCAUAACGUCUUCGGACCAAAGUGGGGGACCUUCGGGCCUCACACCAUCGGAUGUGCCCAGAUGGGAUUAGCUAGUAGGUGGGGUAAUGGCUCACCUAGGCGACGAUCCCUAGCUGGUCUGAGAGGAUGACCAGCCACACUGGAACUGAGACACGGUCCAGACUCCUACGGGAGGCAGCAGUGGGGAAUAUUGCACAAUGGGCGCAAGCCUGAUGCAGCCAUGCCGCGUGUAUGAAGAAGGCCUUCGGGUUGUAAAGUACUUUCAGCGGGGAGGAAGGCGAUGUGGUUAAUAACCGCAUCGAUUGACGUUACCCGCAGAAGAAGCACCGGCUAACUCCGUGCCAGCCGCCGCGGUAA